ACAGUAUGUCUGUUUUUCUGUGAAUCCAAACUGUUUGAAUCAACUUUGUCAAUCAAUUUCAGUGAGAUCAGGCUCAUUCCAUCCUUUUCUCAGAUGAAGGAACGGGGUCUGCCUCAAUGUGACUUGAAAUACAUCUCUAUAAAUGAUUGCAAAAUGCUACAGUUAUUGUACAGCAAGUUAUUGAAUGAUAAUAUACUAGCUCAGCAUAGUUCUUUGGGGGUAAAAUGAAAGACGAGUAAGGUAUAAUCAAGAUAUCCUUACAGUAUUUCUAAGCUUAACACACACAUGUUCAUGUUUACAUGCUGAGAAUUUUUGGCCGCUGUGAUCAUUCCUCAUGUUCUUACUAUUAAUAAAACAUUCCUCUGUAAUAUGACAGUAGUGUAGCUAAAAUAACUAAAAUGUGAGCAGCCAAAAAAAAAUAGUUUCCCAAACGUUUCAGAACUUUAAAGGAUGCUCUCACAUAUGCAUGACAGUUCAACAAGCUACAAAAUGAUGCACUGUUGUAUUUUAGUAGUGGUCAGAUAUGAAAUCAAAGUAUUUUCCAGUUACAAUCUUUGUAGUGCAGAAUACUCAUGAUUCUGGUUUAGCCACCCAUGAAAAGUGCUACCUAGGAAAAUGUACCCCAGAUUGUUCUGAACCAUAAACUAUCAUAAAAUAAUGAUAAUAAAAAAUGAUAAUCAUAGUAACCAAUGAUUUCCUCGUCGUCAACAUGUAAUUAUUGUUGAAAGGCUUCAAAAAUCAUUACAUUAAUAAUUAAAAAAAAAAAAUCAUGGGCAAAUGUCCUUAUCUCCAAAAUGUGCUCCUUCCAUGUCAUGUUACUGUUACAUAAUUGAAAACAGGUCCUGUUCAGAUAUCAGUUACCAAUCAUUUUUGUUAUUAGAACUGUUAGCAUUAUUUAGAACUUUUUCCUCAUGGCAAUAUCAAGAUGUGAACAGAGAAUAAGAUGUCUGUUAAGAAUUAUUACCAUCUUUUCAUUCAUUUCAGAAUGCCCCAUUCAUCAAGGUCUAAGCGUUUUCCCCUACAAAAGGAUUCUGAGUCAAAGACUCAGAGAGGGUUGUGUCGAGGUGUUGGUGGAGUGGCAACCUUGCUCUGGAUGUGGAGCAAAGUGGAAAAACUCCUGGGAGCCCAAAGACAACGUUCUUCCUUAAAAAAAAUUGUUAAAAUUGUGUUUGUUGUGUUAUGUGACACAAAUUUGUUUUGGUAAGUUGUUUGUUUUCUGUUGUUGGGAAGGUAAUAAACAUAUUGUUUUACUUUCAAACACUUUGUCAUUGUGUUAUAUUAUUGUUGGAUGCAUUUCAUGUAAUUCUGAGAAGCAUCAGCUCGAGGGCUGAUGAAUAUUGGUACCUGAACAACACAAGCGUGAUGAGAUACUUUUGGUGCAGUCUUGUCUUUAAAACACUCCAGUUCAUGCAAAUGAACAUAGCUUCUCUCUUAAAUCUGUCUGCAAACAGCGCACAUCUUUCAUCUCUCUGCCUCUCUCCCUCUGCCACUGUCUCUAACUACCUGCCAGUCUCUCACUCUCCACCACUCUCUCUGCCACUCUCUCUUUUUCUCUCUCUCUCUCUACCUCCCUCCCACUAGCAGCUCCCCCAGGUCAGGGCAACGAGAGAAACCCAUGAUGGCGGAGAGAAAGAGAAGUCAAGGAAAGAAGGAAGUUAUCAUAUGAAGAGCAGCACUUCAAUAUUCAUAUCUGGCUAAAUGUGUGAUAAAAUAUUUUAAAAUAACAUACGUGCUGCUGGCUGUGUUCUUUCUGAUACAUAAAUCAUUAAAUAUAAUGAAAUAUUGACCUUGGAACCUUGAUUUCAGAAUUCAAACAAUGUGCUUUAUGCACAGUUAGGGAACAUAAGGGAGCUCCAUGUUUCCACUCUUUCAUUACUGGGUGAACUGAUUAAUUCAGGUGUGUCUAGCCAUUGCUGUUGUGAUGGCUGAGGUUGAGCACACCCGGAUUAAUCAGUUCAUCCAGUAAUGAAAGACAGGAAUCAAAGGAGCUGCCUUAAGUUCAGGAAGUAGUGGAGCUGUGCAUAGAGCCCACUGAGCCUCUAAAUGGCUCUAGAAAUCUUAAUCUGGGCAAGGCUAUGACCAUGAAGUAUUAAAAUCAAACCUUUGUCAUAGGACUAAUUGAAAUACAUAAAUGGAAAGGUCUUGACCUGUGGAGCAACAAACGUCAGCAUGAAGAUUCUAAAUGGCUCCUGCUUGAAAUAUUGACCUUUGAACCUUAACUAUUUACAUAGAAUGGUUAGCAUUAUGGUGAUAAUGGGGAAAUAAUUGAUGUAAACUGGUCAAAAAUUAGAAGUAUGAUGGUGCAUAGGUCAGUCAUCAAUAUGUUAAACACAUCUGGUUGGCAAAUAUCUGUGAAAAUGUCUUUUUCUGAUUUUAUCCAUGUUGGCCUUGAAAAGGGUGCAAGAAACUAUACCUGGAAGGGGCUGGCUUGGAGCAAAGAUGAAAAAUUUACUUUGUCGUAGGAUAACAAUGAAGACAUCACUGGAAAGGUCUCAACCUAGA